UACGAGGGAUCCUAGCGUUGUUCGGAAUUAUUGGGCGUAAAGGGUGUGUAGGUGGCUUUUUAAGUCAGUUGUGAAAUCCCCGGGCUCAACCCGGGAAGUGCUUCUGAUACUAUUAAGCUUGAGUACUGGAGAGGUGAGUGGAAUUCCUGGUGUAGUGGUGAAAUACGUAGAUAUCAGGAGGAACACCGGUGGCGAAGGCGGCUCACUGGCCAUGUACUGACACUGAAACACGAAAGCGUGGGGAUCAAACAGG
rnacentral:rRNA from 1 species